AACGCACUGACAUCACGCUUCCUAAUAGCUUGGUAUGAUGACUGCUGUCAAAAUCGCCUGCAUGGAACCAUCCCUGACCUGGACUAACAGCAUGUAUUAGCGUGACAGAGACUAAAAAGCUAAGAACCGCCGUGCGAUGGCCGGCUUUGGGCACCGGGGGUGGGGGCUACGCUACGCGUGAAGGGCCUCAGUCCUCGGGCUUUAGUUCAGGAAGAAAAUGAAAGCUGGAGGUCUCGUGGGCGGGACUGGAGGCGGCCAGAUAGGCAAGAACCCGCAACAGGAGUAGGGACAUUUUUUCUUCAAAUUCCAAUCCCAUCCAGCGAUAGACAGGCGCGUGGGUCUCCCUCCUCCACGACCACCACACAAUGGCACACACUUUUGCUGGAAACUGAAAUCGAAGUCUCUGAGGCAGGCUGGGGCCCAGGCCGGCAGCGGGGAGGGGCAGGGUCCAGCCACCUCGGCGUGGCCUUGGCGAGCGCUCCGGGGUCAGAGGCCGUCGUUCUCGCCGCGCUCCACAGCGCGUCACCCGCUGCCCUAGCGACCCCCGGGCGACCCCGGCAUCGCCUGGCUGCGCCGUCCCGGCGGGCCGGCCCUCUCCACGCCCUCUCCUGGGGUUUGCGGUGGGCACAGCUCCCUCCAGACUGGGUCUCUCCACUAGCCUCCUCCCCAACUGCAACGUGGGAACCAGAGCUAUCCGAGUCACGAGCCCCAAGUGCACACAAAGCCCCCAACGGGGCCACGGCGCCUCCACGCCUCGCUACCUCCAGCUCCAGGAGCGCAGAACGCAGCGCCCUGGGUCACCGCGUCUGCCCUGCGGAGCAGCCCCACUGAGGGGAAGCCUCGGGCAGGAGGGGGAGGACAGCGGGCGGAGAAUACUCACGCUGGGCCCAGCCGCGCGGGGACUUCGCUGGGAACCACGCGCGGGCUCCCGCCGGGGAGCGGAGCCCCAGCCUGCAGUCCUGCGCCCGCCCCAGCACCGCCUCCUCGGAAGGGAGGCCUCUACCGUCCGGCGGCGGACCUGCAGCCGCCGCGGGAGACGCUGCCCCGCCCCCCGGCCCCGCCCUUCGGCCCAUCCCCGCCCCGCUGGCCUCCUUUUCCCCUGCCCCCUCCCUCCGCUCCUCAACGCCCGCCGGGUGCAAUCUGCUCUCUCCGGGAGACGAACGCGAAGCGACGUGGAAACCCUUCCACCAAAAUGAGCUGUGAUAUCCUUUUGAUGGCUAUAAUUUAUUCCAAAUCGUCCCUGGACUGAAACGAUCAAUUAGCAGCCCGAAACGCACUGUGAAGUAAAUUGUCACACUCUCUAUUACAGGAUGGUUAUCAUAUAUUUAUAAGAGUUACACCUGCCAUCUAGCAAAACAGACCUCACCCAAGGUCAAUGAUGGCUGCUAACCUUGGGGUUGAUGGGGGAAGGUGGAUGCAGCAGACCCCAGGGAAAACAGAGCACCGUGAGGAGGAGCCAGAGGAGGCCGGAGGCCCUUGUCUCAGACAUCCAGCUCUGAGAGUGAAAUGUUGCUUCCUAAUGGACUUUAAAUUACCAACAUCGCUAAACUCUCUCUUAAUAGACUUGUAAAGAUUUGCUUGCUACCUUUUUCCUCCUUCAUGUAGAAUUUGUAAUCAAGAGCCCAAUUUUGUCAUUUGGAAAUACUAAUUAUCUAAUCACGGCAUGCUGUAUAACGUACUUGUCUGCCCAAUUAGCUAGGACAAUUAUUAAAAUUCAGAGGCCUAAUUAUGUCUCAAUUUAAUGCUGGCAAACUUGCAUACAGAGCAGUAAUUAAAAUCCUCUCUUUCCCUCUGCCUUUAGGGCAGGGGAUGAUUAGGCCCUGUCAGGGGGUGUACUGAACCAAACCAGUGAAGCGUAUUGUGCAACAUGACCCUGCAUUGUUAAGUGUGUCAACAUAUUAACCUGAAUUCCCUUCAGCCCCCACAUAAUCACAUUUGGUGGAAGAAUGAAGGAGCUAAAACAUGAAGCAUUUUUUUAAAAAAACAUAAAUUCAUUUUAAUUAAUGCUGUGAGAGUUCUGGUGAAUUUCACGUUUCCAAGUGCUGGAAGACGUAAGACUGGUUCAUCUAAUUACUAGCAAAUUUGUUCUUGUAAAAACUACUUUUUUUACUCAUUUAAAUAAAAUAAUUUUUGGGGGUAGCAUUAAAAAAAAAAAGCCCUAGUUAGCUUCCAGUAAUACAGUUGAUUACCAGCUUUGAUGAUGGAACACAAGUGAAUGUUGACUUCCAAAAGAUUCAAACCCAAGACUGGAGGCAUUGAGGGGAAAAAAUACUACAAUUUAAUACUUGAAAGAUGUUAAUAAAAGUCGAACAUUACAAAUCAUAAUAUUGAAAUAAAUUCAAAAUAUUUAUCUUUUGAGCUCUUAAGUUUGAUGUCUGAAAUUGAACCAGGGUGAGAAGACCAGAGCAUUGCACAAAUUCAUGAUGCUUUGCAAGCUCCAGAUGGUGUGUGUCCACCUUGCCAGCAUCUAAACCACCUUCUCUAUGGAGUAAGGAGAGCCACAAAACCCAUUAAGACUCCUGAGCUGUCCUCUAAGUUCUGGCUUUCACUCAUGAUGGUCUUUAGAGAUUAUUCAUAUAUUCAGCUAAGGAAGGACAACAUUUAGUCUAGACCAAAAAUGAAUUAUUCUGGAGCAGAACUUCUUUCAAUUGCUUCCCAACUUCUUGCUGUAUGGAUAGCUUCCACAGAGUAAGAGACACACAAAUACACACUCAUGCACACUCGCACAGUCCCUUACUUGGACAGAGCUUACUCUCAUCUCAAUUGAUCUCUUUUUCUUUUAUUUUUUUAGAUGGAGUUUUGCUCUAGUUGCCCAGGCUGGAGUGCAGUGGUGUGAUCUCGGCUCACUGCAACCUCCACCUCCUGGAUUCAGGUGAUUCUCCUGCCUCAGCCUCCCAAGUAGCUGGGAUUACAGGUGCCCACCGCCACACCCGGCUAAUUUUUUAUAUUUUUUGUAGAGACCCCGUUUCACCAUGUUGGCCAAGCUGGUCUCAACCUCCUGACCUCAGGUGAUCUGCCUGCCUGGGCCCCACAAAGUGCUGGGAUUACAGGUGUGAGCCACCACGCCCUGCCAAUUGAUCUCAUUUUUAAUCUCAUGAUCACCUUGUAACACAUGUAAGGCAAGCAUGUCUCCAUGUUAAUAUGGGGCAGUUAAUAUACUUGCCCGAGCUCACCACUCCAUACUCUUACUUCUUGGUUGUAGGCAGGGUAAGACUAGACUCCGUUCCCCUUGCUGCCCACUGCAUCAGACAGUUAGCUGUGGAUCAGUCACCAAUCAGGGAGGCUUAGUUUGGUUAAAUAUGUCAUGUUGAGAUCGAAGUAUAGAUAAUGUUAUAAACAAUGAGACAACAAGGGGACAGCCUAUGUACCAACACCAGAGGACCUCCUGUCCUCAGUCAAUACUUACUUGCAACAUGUUUAGCCAUAUUUGUUUAGAUUUGAUGCCUCUGGCCCAUUUUCUUCCUCUUUAAGCUUUUAUAUUUCUCAAGUUUUAUAUAGUUUCAUCUGGGCCAGUGAUAGUAAAAUUUGGGUUCCUUCCUCCUAAUCUUGCUGUGGUACAAUGUGGUGUGUUUAGGGACAAUUCUGGCUGGUAUAUGCUCUCUUACUAACAAAGGCAGUGACUACAGCUAUCUCUAUAAGAGAUGGUUGGCUGGAGCCAGGACAGGCCCUUAGGCACUUGUGCUACAAAACCCGGGGGUGGUAGUCCUCCCUCCACACCCGCCACUACCCCCCACCCCCACCUCCCAGGGAGUAUGCCCUGUGUCUUGAAAAUGGCCUUGCUCUGAGCCUCUUUGGAUGGCAAACUGAAGUGCAAAUCUGUGUUCUGACUUGUUCCCGUGGCUGUCAGCAUGUUUUCCUCUUGUCAGCAGCAAUUGACUGGUCAGGCUCACCCCUGUACAGCAAUUGUAACAGCUCAUUGACAGACUAGUGACCCAGCUGGACCUGAUAAUGGAAAACUAUUGAUUUUUGUGGGCUCCACGAAUCUAAAAUGAACGACCGAUGUAAUGUCAUCAAUUGUCUCGGACUCUGAUAACCCAGGGGGAAAAAGUUUCAGGGAUUGCUUGUAUUUCCUGACAAUAGUGUUCCAAAAUCUCACUGAGCAUAUGUAAGAAGAAGCCCAUUUCUUAGAUGGGCUUUAAAUGACCCCGAUUAGUCCAUCAGGGUUUCAACGCCGAGGCUUGCAUGUUAAAUGAAGUGGAAAUUAGGAUUAUCAAUUAGCAGAACUGAGACAUAACGUACAAUUUAGGAAAGAUAUUUGUGGAGAAGCACUUUGAGAGGAAAAUGUUUAAAAUGUUUAUUAUAAAACAAGCUCACAGGAAAAAAAAAAGAAGAAGCUGGGAGGAAACCAAAAUAUAUAGGCUCUCCAAGAGCCUUGAUGUAUGAAAUUGUGAUAGAACUAUGAGGCUGCUUUGGCUUGCCUGUGUUGAUUUAUUGGUAGUAGAAAGAAAGGCUUGAAAAUAAUGUAGAGAUGCCUUAAACAUGUGUUGCAGGAAAUAGCUAUUUAGUUUUGUUUUUUAAACAAUUUUCUCCUUACUUGAUCAUUUAAAAAUCCUCAAACAUUGCUUAGUGUGUUUUUUAGAAACAACAGCAUUUUUUUCUUGAGCCAAAUUAGCAAUGGGUUGGAGCUAAUUUUGCCCAGUGGACAGGUCUAGAAAAUUCUGUACUCUAUGCUGAAUUCUGAUAGAUAGGAUUUCCCUUAAUGGCCUCUGCCAAAGGGAACUUGAUUAAAAAAAAAAAAAAAAAAAGGCAAGGCUAUUGAUCUUGGCUGCCAAACUGAUACAUUUAGUUCACAAUCCACUUGUAGUGAGGACAUAAUCAUCUUAUGGUCCUGAUCAAAUUCAGACAUUCUUAGAACACAGUUCUGAAGGCUAGACAAAUCAGAGAACACAGAAAUAACAGGGGUGCUUCCCCAUCCAUUUUAUUUGCUCAAAGAGGGCUAGAAAUCUCAGUAAGGGUCCAGAAAGAACAGGCCCCAGAGGAGAUGAAUCUAUGUGUGGCUGGACUCCUGUUCACAGGAUGCUGCCAUCUUCACACUCUCCUGUCAUGGUCCUUCUCUGGCCUUUGAUUAGCAUCGCCCCUUACAACACUACACCUCUGGUUUUCUAGCACUAUCAAAACCAGCUUUGCCAAUUGUUUGGCUGGCUACCUAUUAGUAAAGACACACAAGGUUGAGGUUGAGACCUGAAAGAAAAUUAGGCUAGGCAAAAAAAAUUGGUAUUUGGACUUUAAUAAAUAAAAAAGGCUUGAUGCAGAGAACACAAAAUUUGCCUGAUGCUGUGUGAUGUGUCUUAUGGCCCAGCCAAGGCAUCAACAGGUCAAAGGUCAGGAGUGAGGUCUUAUAUGUUUUGGAAUUCUCUACAGUGGUUUUCAUCAGGCCUUGCAUGUCACAAAUAUAUAAAUAAUCAUUGAAUAAAGGAGCAAAAAGGCUAUUUUUAAGUAUAGAAAGAUGAAGGUAACAUUUUCCAGUGUAUAAUAGAUUUGGGAGAAAAUAUUUGCAAUCAGGGUUUUCCAUGUGCAGGCUCAUGCCAGUCCAUGAAGGAGUUCACCUGUCUGUGGUAAAUAUAAAUAAAUGAACAAAGGGAAGUUAACAGGAUUUUAUAAAGCAAAAUUUAAUCUUUUUAAAAGUCCGAGAUUGGCUGAGCACGGUGGCUCAUGCCUGUAAUCCCAGCACUUUGGGAGGCCGAGGCGGGCAGGUCACCUGAGGUCAUAAGUUGAAAACCAGCCUGGCCAACAUGGUGAAACCCUGUCUCUACUAAAAAUACAAAAAUUAGCCGGCCGUGGUGGCAUGUGCCUGUAAUCCCAGCUACUCAGGAGGCUGAGGCCGGAGAAUCACUUGAAUCCGGGAGGCGGAGGUUGCAGUGAGCCAAAAUCGUGCCACUGUACUCCAGCUUGGGUGACAAGAGCAAAACUCUGUCUCAAAAAAAAAAAAAAAAUUCCAAGAUUAUAGUCUUUUGAGAUGUUAAACAUUUUCUUUUAUAAAUAAUGAUUAUAAUAAAUUAAUAGCUUUACUUGGCAAGGCAAGAUUAAAAGUUGGCAAAAAUCAUACACUGGUCCAAUACCUUAAAAAUUACUUUUCUGUAGAAGCCAAAGAAUGGGUGCACUAAUCUAAAUACCUAUUGUGCCUCUUAUUAAUAUUAAGGCAAUCCCAUAUGACUGUCAACAAAUAGAAAUAUUCAUGAUUAAGGCACAGCAUUAGAUGUGAUAGGUGUAACAGCACUGGCCUAAGGUCUAGUCAUUUGGAGCUUCUUUUAGGUUUUUGGUCUGUAUUCUAUCUUUACAAAUUAUUAAAUUAUUAAAAAAUUUUAAUUUUUAAACCCAAAUCUGUGAUUUGAUUGAAAUGCUGAAAGAUGCGAUAUUAGUCACCAUACUUUUAACUUCAAGAUACUCUUUUCUGAUAACACAAUUCCUAUCUUCUGCCCUAUGCAAUGUCAGGUCUGUUCCCAGCAGCAGUUCCACAGUAAUGAUGCCACUUGGAAGAGAAAACAAUUUUGUUUCUUUGGGUUUUAAUUUGAUGUGUAAAGUCAAAAUUUUAACUCAGAGUAUGUGUUUUGCUGUGCUUUGUAACUUGCACUAAAGAUUUAAAUGUAUUAAACACAUUCCUUGCAAUAACUAAUCAUAAAAUUACAGUAUUUAUUAAUAGAAGAUUAAUAACUCUGGACCCAGUUUCACCUCCACAUUUAACAUCUUCCUCUUGUAUCUUUUGGAAUGCUUUCAGCUGCAGGUAAAAGAGGAAUGCUUUGUGUUACUUCACAAAGCAGGUCAGAGAUCUUGUGGUUCUAGGAUUGAUUGAUGCAGUAUCUCAGCAACAUAAUCGAGGACCCAGGUUUUUUCCAUAUUUUUCACUGGCUAUCUCAGCAUGUUCACUUGUCCUGUUAUACUCUCUUCCAUCAUGGAGAGCAAUAUGACCACACAGUUCCUGGUGUUCAAUGUAGAUAGUAAUACUUAGCAGCAGGAAAAGGGGACAUUCCUCUGUUGUGUCCCUUUUUAAGACUUAAGGAACACUUCCCCAAAAGCCCAUUUUCUCACUUUCCCUCAAGCUUCAUCCAGAGUUGUGUUAUCAGCCUGUUUGUAAACCGUUUGCUG
rnacentral:lncRNA from 1 species